AGAACGAACGCUGGCGGCAGGCUUAACACAUGCAAGUCGAACGGUUGUAGCAAUACAGCAGUGGCGCACGGGUGAGUAACGCGUGGGAACAUACCUUAGAGUUCGGAAUAACAGCGGGAAACUGCUGCUAAUACCGGAUAUUCUCCUCGGAGGAAAGAUUUAUCGCUCUAAGAUUGGCCCGCGUCAGAUUAGCUAGUUGGUGAGGUAAUGGCUCACCAAGGCUCCGAUCUGUAGCUGGUCUGAGAGGACGACCAGCCACACUGGAACUGAGACACGGUCCAGACUCCUACGGGAGGCAGCAGUGGGGAAUAUUGGACAAUGGGCGAAAGCCUGAUCCAGCCAUGCCGCGUGAAUGAUGAAGGCCUUAGGGUUGUAAGCUCUUUUACCAGGGAAGAUAAUGACGGUACCUGGAGAAUAAGUUCCGGCUAACUUCGUGCCAGCAGCCGC
rnacentral:rRNA from 1 species